AUUCACACUAUAAUACAUGUCUCACCAAUAGAUGAUUCAAGAACAUCAUUUAAAUACACAAUUUUUCAUUCUCUAUUUUUGCUAAAUUUCUUCAUACUCAACUUUCAGAUUCUUUAAUCUCCAGCUCAGCUUCAACAAUUCAACGCUGUUCUUUCUGAAAAAGUACACAUCGUGCCUUCUCUACUUCGCUCUUGGAACAUAAUUUCUCAUGGCAGUGUUUAAGACCACUCUGUGGAGGUUAAUUUCUGGGACCUUAGGGAUAAUAUGCCUUUCGUUGAUGUCUACGUUGGGAAUUUUGUUGAAAAAUUCUUUUACUAAACUGAGUAUUGAGCCAGCAUUUACUCCAGGACCCAACAUAGAACUCCAGAAAGACUCUGACUGCUGUUCUUGCCAAGAAAAAUGGGUUGGGUACCGGUGCAACUGUUACUUCAUUUCCAGUGAACAGAAAACUUGGAACGAAAGUCGGCAUCUCUGUGCUUCUCAGAAAUCCAGCCUGCUUCAGCUUCAAAACACAGAUGAACUGGCAUGAUUUUAUGAGCUCCAGUCAACAAUUUUACUGGAUUGGACUCUCUUACAGUGAGGAGCACACCGCCUGGUUGUGGGAGAAUGGCUCUGCACUCUCCCAGUAUCUAUUUCCAUCAUUUGAAACUUUUAAUACAAAGAACUGCAUAGCGUAUAAUCCAAAUGGAAAUGCUUUAGAUGAAUCCUGUGAAGAUAAAAAUCGUUAUAUCUGUAAGCAACAGCUCAUUUAAAUGUUUCUUGGGGCAGAGAAGGUGGAGAGUAAAGACCCAACAUUACUAACAAUGAUACAGUUGCAUGUUAUAUUAUUACUAAUUGUCUACUUCUGGAGUCUAUAAAAUGUUUUUAAACAGUGUCAUAUACAAUUGUCAUGUAUGUGAAACAAUGUGUUUUAAAAUUGAUGAAAUUCGUUCACCUACAUUUGAGAAUUAUAAAAUUAACAUAAAGAAUUUUGUAUUUUCAUUUAAUGUAUAUAUUUAAUGUUAAAUUCAAUGUAGUUUUAUUACACAUUUAUGUAAUUUUAUUUACAUUCUUGCUAAUUCUCAGCAGAAAUUUAAAUAAGAUUUAAUUCACAUCAAAUAAAAUUUAGAAAAUAAAAUUUAACUCACACUGCCCAGGCUGGAGCAUAGUGGCAAGAUCAUAGCUCAUUGCAAGCUCAAGUGAUCCUCCUGACUCAGCCUCCCAAGUAGCUAGGACUGCAGGCACCAUGUCACUAUGCCCGACUAAUUUUUAAUUUUUAAUUUUUUGUCAAGACAAGGUCUUGCUAUGUUGCCCAGGCUGGUCUUGAACUCCUGGCCUCAAGGGAUUCUCCCACCUUGGAUUCCCAAAGUGCUGGGAUUAUAGGUGUGAACCACCAUCCCUGGCCCUCUUCACAUUCUUGUAUGAAGAUUGAUUUGGGAAAAAUGCAUUUCAGGUAACUGACAAAAGAUAUAGGAUGAAAAAUAAUAUCUUUCAAAUGUUUAAUUUGAACUAAGAGAGCUUAUGCAUUGCACUUUCUGGAGAUUUGUAAUGUUUUGGUUUUGUUGUCCAUGUGACUACAAAAUAAUAUAUUUUUUAAUUAAAAAAUUUAAAAUAAUACAGGCAAGCAUGUAAUGAUUAUCAAUAUUUUUUUCCACCAACUAUCCUAUACCCCUGACCUCCUUUCAUUAGGCAUUAUCUUCUGUUUUGAUUUUAACACUUAGAGUGGUUUUCUCUGUUAUGAAUCAAAGCUGAUCUAUUUUCAUCAUUUUUGUGAUGAAAAAAUUAAUUUUGAUUGACUUAGGAUGGAAGGAUUUGGACUGGGUGUGGUGGUUUAUGCCUGUAAUCGCAGCACUUUGGGAGGCCAAGGCGGGUGGAUCACUUGAGGUCAGGAGUUUGAGACCAGCCUGGCCAACAUGGUGAAACCCUGUCUCUACUAAAAAUACAAAAAUUGGCUGGGUGUGGUAGUGCACACCUGUAAUCCCAGCUAUUUGGGAGGCUGAGUCGAGAGGAUCGCUUGAACCUAGGAGGUGGAGGUUGCAGUGAGUCGAGAUUGCACCACUGCACUCCAGCCUGGGUGACAGAGCCAGACUCCUCUCCAAAAAAAAAAAAAAAAAAAAAAGAUGAAAGGAUUUGGAACCUUAAUUGCAUCUGAAAAACUGCCUCACCUUUGUUAUUUAGUGUACUCCAACCACGGAGUAACAUCCCAUCAUAAUCCCAAAUCCUACUCAAACAAAAGGGGAAGGGAUUAUGCAGGUGUACACUAGGCCACUGGUGUACCAAUUAGAAACCACUUUAGAGUUAUGCCUACUGUACCCACAUAAUCCUAAAAAUAUGUUACAACUGCUACUUCAUAGUUUAUGCCACUUAUUUUAUUUUUUACUUUUAUUAUUUUUUUUUCUGAGACACGGUUUCAUUCCCAUUGCCCAGGCUGUAGUGCAAUGAUGCAAUCAUGGUUCACUGCAGCUUCAACUUCCCAGGCUCAAGGGAUCCUCCCACCUCAGCCUUCUGAGUACUUGGGACUCAGGUGCGAGCCAUCAUGCUCAGCUAAUUUUUUGUAUCAUUUGUAGAAAUGGGGUUUUGUAUUGUUGCCCAGGCUGAUCUUGAACUCCUGGGGUCAAGGAUUCUGCCCGCCUUGGCCUCCUAAAGGGCUGGAAUUACAGGCAUAAGCCACUGUGCCCGGCCAGUUUAUAUAAUUUAAACACUGCCUUUUGGUUCCUUGAUUCCCAUAUGCUAGGACAAGUAAUUAUUAUUUUAUUUUAUUUUACUUUAAGUUCUGGGUUACAUGUGCAGAACCUGCAGGUUUGUUACAUAGGUAUACAUGUUCCAAGGUGGUUUGCUGCACCUAUUGACCCAUCAUCUAGGUUUUAAGUCCCACAUGCAUUAGGUAUUUGUCCUAAUGCUCUUCCUCCCCUUGCCCCCCACCCCCCGACAGGCCUUGGUCUGUGAUGUUCACCUCCCUGUGUCCAUGUGUUCUCAUUGUUCAACUCCCACUUAUUAGUAAGAACAUGUGGUGUUUGGUUUUCUGUUCCUGUGUUAGUUUGCUGAGAAUGAUGGUUUCCAGCUUCAUCCAUGUCGCUGCAAAGGACAUGAACUCAUUCUUUUUAUGGCUGCAUAGUAUUCCAUGGUGUAUAUGUGCCAUAUUUUCUUUAUCCAGUCUAUCACUGAUGGGCAUUUGGGUUGGUUCCAAGUCUUUGCUAUGGUAAAUAGUGCUGCAAUAAACAUACGUGUGCAUGUGAGGACAAGUAAUUAUUUUCUGUUUUUCUCAAUACAUUAAUUAUUAGUUCCUCCGUUAGUUGUGAAGUCCUAAUUAGGGAAAAGGAGUUAGGCUGGCGGGAGCAGGGAAAAGCAGAAAGAGAAAGCAGAUAAGCUAUGAGUCUGCCUUUCUUCAUGGUCCAGGAUAUGGGCCAUGUGCUAAACUAUUACCAGACACCUGCAAGUUACCUCACCGCAACCUUGGCAUUAUCAGUACUGGACAAAGCCCUCUGCAGCAUACAGCAUAAACACUAUUCCAUAAAAUCCUAAGCAAGCCUUUGUUUCUUUGCAGUCAGCUUUUCUUCUGCUGAUGCUGCCUGUUGCCUCCCUGGAAACAUAUUUUCCUACUUUUCUUUAAUAAAUCUGCCUUCCUUUACCUACAGCUGUCUUGGUAAAUUCUUUUACCUCAAUGCCACCGGCCCAGGUAGCCGUUGCUCACCCACAACAUUAGUGUAUUAGUCCGUUCUUAUGCUGCUACUAAAGAUAUACCCAAGACUGGGAAAUUUAUAAAAUAAAGACAUUUAAUUGACUCACAGUUCUGCAGGGUUGGAGAAGCCUCAGGAAACUUACAGUAAUGACAGAAGGGAAAGCAAACACAUCCCUCUACGCAUGGCAGCAGAAAGGAGACGUGCUGAGCAAAAGGAAAAAUACCCUCUUAUUAAAUCAUCAGAUCUAGUGAGAACUCACUCACUAUCAUGAGAACAGCAAAGAGGUAACUACCCCCAUGAUUAAAUUACCUCCUACCAGUUCCCUCACAUGAUACGUGAGGAUUAGGGGCACUACAAUUCAAGAUGAGAUUUGGGUGGGGACACAGCCAAGCCAUAUCAGUUAGUGACAUCUGUAUUCUCAUAUUGCAUGCAUAAGAAAGUGAGUUAUUUUACAGCUGAACUGGGACAGCUCUUUGCUUAUUUCCAGAGAUGCCUAGGUGUCUGUUUUUGACUCUUGGCCAUGAUAUGGGUAGUAGGCUAACUAACUAGCUAACAAAUGGUUUAUGGUGAGUUCUUUAAAGUUCAAAAUCCCUCAGUGGAAUCCAGGGUCAAUUUGUUUAUUGAUAGCUUCCAUAUGAGAUAAUUACAGAUCUUGUCUCUGCUGUGUGACCAGACACAGAUAAAAGACUGCAAGAAAUUUCAGUUUCAGCUCUCAUGAAACCAAGUUUCAUCUCACAAAUAUCAGGUUUCAUCCAGAGAUGAAUGGUGUCUUUGCGCAAAUAUCUCUUGGUCCCACACUGCUUGUUUGAAUUCUCUUUCUCAUACGGUAUCAUAUUCCUUUCACUUAUUAAAAAGUUUUUCAUGGCUGGGCGCGGUGGCUCAAGCCUGUAAUCCCAGCACUUUGGGAGGCUGAGGCGGGUGGAUCACGAGGUCAGGAGAUUGAGACCAUCCUGGCUAACACGGUGAAACCCCGUGUGUACUACAAGUACAAAAAAAUUAGCCAGGCGUGGUGACAGGCACCUGUAGUCCCAGCUACUCGGGAGGCUGAGGCAGGAGAAUGGCGAGAACCCGGGAGACGGAGUUUACAGUGAGCUGAGAUCGCGCCACUGCACUCCAGCCUGGGUGACAGAGGAGACUCCGUCUCCAAAAAAAAAAAAAAAAAAAAAGCUUUUCAUAAGUAUGCUCAUUAGAACCUUAUAAUUCAUUUCAGUUAUCUACACCUGGAAAUGUUAGUUCUAUAAUUUUGGACUUUCUGAAACUUUUCUCUUUAUAUCCUAACGCAGGGGUUGAAAAACUUUUCUCAAAAAGCUCUAUAGCAUAUAUUUUCAACUUUGUGGACCAGUCUCUGUUGAAACUUCUCAACCUUGCCAUGGUGGUGCUAAAGAAGACAUAAAUAAUACAAAAAUGAAUGGUUUGACUGUGUUACAAAAGAAUUUUAUUGACAAAACAUAUGGUGAGACAGAUUUGGUCCACAGGCCAUAGUUUGCCAACAUGUGCCCAAGUAUGUAAGAUGAGAAUAUAAGGCCAUAAAUUCUACUCUCUGCUUUAUUCUUUUCCAGGUCACUUCUUACCAGUUGUAAAUGUACUUACAAAUUUUGCUAUAUGAAAACAGUUAUGUCUGUUACUAUCAAUCUGUGUUCAUUUUAAAGGGUGACAAUCUACAAAUUAUGUGUUAUAGACAAGUUGCAAGAUGUUCACCAAUGAUUCCCACCUUGUGCUAUACAUGCCUUGGUGGAAUUUCUUUCCACAUUGUAUCAAGGUUGCUCUGUGUGACCAAUGAAAUAAAGUGGAAAUGAUGAUAUUUCAUUUCUGAGAAUAGGUCAUCAAAGAUAGUAUGACUUCCUUUUUCCUCUCUCCCAGAUUACUUGAUCUGGGGAAAACCAGUUAUAAUGUCAUGAGCAGCCCUGUUGAAAGGACCAUGCGGCAAGGAACUGAAGACUCUUACACACAGCCAGCAAGGAACUGAAGUCUAUUUCCAAUAGCCAUGCUAUGAGCCUUCUUUGCUUGUAUAGGCUCCAGUCUUAGUCAAGCCUUCAGAUGAUUACAGCCCCCAGCCAACACCUUGACGGCAACCUCAUGAGAGACCCUGAGCUAGGUCCAUCGUGCUAUGCUGUUCGAGGAUUCCUCACUCUCAGAAGCUGUGUGAAAUAGUAAAGUGUUUAUUCUUUUUUUUUUUUUUUUUUUUGACAGAGUCUCACUCUGUCACCUGGGCUGGAGUGCAGUGGGGCCAUGUCGGCUCACUGCAACUUCUGCCUCCUGGAUUCAAGCAAUUCUCCUGCCUCAGCCUCCUGAGCAGCUGGGAUUACAGGUGUGCACCACCACUCCUGGCUAAUUUUUUUGUAUUUUUAGUACAGACGGGGUUUCACCAUGUUGGUCAGGCUGGUCUUGAACUCCUGACCUCAGGUGAUCUGCCUACCUCACCCUCCCAAAGUGCUGGGAUUACAGGCGUGAGCCACUGCGCCCAGACAUAACUUUUAUUCUUUUAAGUCACUAAAUAUUAACGUGUCACAUAGCAAUAAUCAAUACAUAUUUUGGUACCAAGAAUGAAGUUACUAUUAUAAAGAAAAAAAAAAACCACUAAAAUUUUGGAGUGCUUGAAAACAGGCAGUGGAUGGAGGCCAAAAGGACAGGAAAGACUGAAACCUUCUAGUAUGGGCUUAUAGUAGGGAAGUGAAAACAUAUUAGAAACUGGAGAAAGUAAAAAUCUUUCUAUUUAGUACCAGAAAGUUUAGCAACACUUUUGUCUGUAGCAUUGUGGAAAGUAGAAAAUGUACUUAAUGAUUUAAGAGAAUGCUCUAAACUUAUUUCCAACUAGAGUGUUGAAUAUCUUGUCUGAUUUCUUCCUACUACUUAUAUUACAAUGCUAUAGAACACACAUAAGCUAAUGGAAGGGCUGUUGAGCAAAAGAAGACAGAACUUGAUAGUUUUGAGAUUCCUGGACUCUCAAAUGUUAGCAUGUCAAAAAUGCUAAAAUUGAGAAAUAGAUUCUGAGCAAAGAUCCAAUCUAGAGUGCUCUCAGGAAAGCAUGAUUCUAAACAAGAAGGUGUGGGUGUGACUGAAAUUUCCUGUAAAUAUCAUAGAAAGAACACAAGUAGUGCCUCAAUUCAGUCAGAUGAAGAUCUAUAAAGGUCAAAUAAUAGGGCUUCUAGGAAGCCCCAGGGUAUUGUCCCUCAGGUAUCUCAGCAGAAGCUCCAGGUAGAGAGAAGAUUGAAGAGAUUUAUGUGUGCGGUUUUUACAAAUAGAGUUCAUAGAAAACCUCAAAACACUUUUGAGAUGACUAUGUCAGUAGAAAAUUGACAAUGAAUUGCUACCUUUUAUUCAAAAGUAAGAAUAAUUCAAAGGACAGAACUAAGAGCCUGUAAGGUGGAUCCAAGAGUUAUGAAGAGUGAUUUUAUAAGCAGAAAUAGGACUGAGUCCUAAUCAAAUGAGUCCCGACAUUUGCUAUGCUAGAUUUUAAAUUAUUAUGCAUCAGUGACUCCUUUGUAAUUCUCAUGCCCCUCCCUCUUUUGAACAAGGAUGUCUAUAGUUUGUUCUUUCGAAUGUUGAGUGUAUAAGGGAAGGAAAUCUCUAGUAUUGUUAAUUUCACAAGCCUUCACAUGGAGAAAAAUGAUACUCAAGAAGCUAAACUUAAGGAACUUCACCUGAUGAGUCUCACUCAUACCUGGAUGUGACAAAUUUCGGACUUUGAACUGACAUUGUAACGGAAUGAGAUUUGGCAGUUGGUGUGGAUUUUGUAUGUGGGAGGGACAUAAAUCAUUUGGGGCCAAAGAUUAGACUCUUGUAAACAGCUUCCUAUAUGCUCCCAAUGAUCCCUGUUUCUUGGAAUUUAACCCUUUUGAUAUAAUCAAUUACAUUGUAUAAGGGUUGAUCACUGUGACCAAGAGAAUAAGGCAGAAGUUAUCGCAUAUCACUUUUGAGGCUAGAUUAUAAAAGACAGUAUGUCUUUGGCGUUGCCCUUUCUCAUAUCAUCUGAUUUGGUGGAAGCCAGCUACCUUGUCGUGAGCAACUCUUUUAAGCGUUCCAUGUGGCAAAGAACUGAGGCCUCCUAUAAACAGCUAGCAAGGAACUGCAGCCAUCUUGUAGACAGCCUUGUGCACGAGCCUCCUUGGUUCAACUCUUCAGCCAGUGUCAAGCCUUAGAAAAUACAACCCAACCUACAUUUUUACUGCAACCUCAUGAGGGAUCCUGAGCUAGAACCACCUAGCACAGUUGCUCUUGAUUUCUGACCUCAGAAACUGUGAAGUGAAAUAUUUUGUUGUUUUAAGCUUACGAGUUUGAGGAUAAUUUGUUCUUUAUAGUAGUUAGCUGAUACAAUAUGCUUCAUCAUCAUGACCUCAUGAAUAGAGAACAUUUAUUUAUUUAUUGAGAUGGAGUCUCACUCUGUCACCCAGGCUGGAGUGCAGUGGCACAGUCUUGGCUCACUGCAACCUCUGCCUCGCUGGUUCAAGCGAUUCUCAUGCCUCAGCCUCCCCAGUAGCUGGGAUUACAGGCACCCACCACCAUGCCUGGCUAAUUUUUGUAUUUUCAGUAGACAUGAGGUUUUGCCAUGUUGGCCAGGCUGGUCUCCAACUCCUGGCCUCAAGUGAUCCACCUGCCUCGGCCUCCUGAAGUGCUGGGAUUACAGGCAUGAGCCAUUGUGUCUGGCCAAAUAGAGGACAUUUUAGAGCCCAAUAGUAAGCUAGGAUUAUAUUUCCUUCUUUGAGGUUCUAUUGUUAUAACCCUUAUACAAUAAAAAACAACUCUUCUGCCAGAUUAAAAUUUUUUGUUUUUUGGUUUUUUUAGUUCUCAAUUAUGUUGUAUAACCCAUGAGUGUCACUUUAUUCUCAUUGGAAAUAUCCUCCCAAGAGCUCUUACCCACCUGCUGUUGUUUGGACUGGCACCUUACUAGACCUGCUCCACAAACUGCCGUCAUGAAAUUUUUCUUCACUAAUUUUCUCAUUUACACUAAAUACUUCAUUGAUUACAGUUUACCUCUUCAUAUAUUUUAAUUGAGCAAAAACACAAUAAAGAAUACCUAUCUUAAAUUUACUCGUAAACAUUUAAGCUAUGUCUACACUUACACGAUUACUACCAGAUUGCAAUAGAGACUACCUACCACCACCAAGACUCUCUUGCUGUUUGCUAAUUGAUACUGUCUCCCCUGUUCCAAGAAAACUGCUACUCUGAUUUCUGAAAAUAUAGGUUUAUUUAGCCUGUUCUUUAAUUUCAUAUAAAUGGAAGCUUAGCAUGUAUGAUCUUUGUGGCUUCUGUUGCUAAGCAUUACGUCUGUGAGAUACAUCCAUAUAUUCGUGCAGCAGUAGCUCCUCACUUUUAUUGUCAUGUAGAAUUCAUAAGAAUGUAUCACAAUUUGCUUAUUUAUUCUAAUAUUGUUCAACAUUUGAGUCAUUUCCACUUUUCACUAUUAUGAGUAAAAUUGCUAUAAACAUUUUAAUAUAGCUCUUGUGGGACAUGUGGCUUCAUAUCUUUUGAGUGUACGCCUAGGAGUUGAAUUUCUAAGUCAUAAGCUGUCAUAUAUUUAGGCCCUUUAGUUCACGCUUUAAAAACUAGUGAUAAUUUAUUCAUAAAGCUUAUUUAUAAUUUCACUGGCAGUUUAUGUGAGUGUUACUCUGUAUUCUUGACAAUACAUAGUAUUAUGAAUUAUUUUAGUCUAAGGACCUUCUGGAUACUAUGCAUUUGCAUACAAUUGUACAUUUAAUUUCCAUCUUCCAAAUGAAUAAUGAUGCUUAUCCCUCAUCUUUUUUUUUCAUUUUUAUAUCCCCUUCUAUGUAGUGCUUGUUUAAGCUUUUAGCCAUUAUUUAUUUUUAACAGCGCUGUUGCAGUAUAAUUGAGAUACUUUAAGCAUACUUUAUAUGCUUAAAGUAUGACAUUUGAUGUAUUUCCAUAUCUAUGCAUCUGUGAAACCAUCACCUCAGCAAUAUAUAAAACACCUACUAACCUCAAAAGUAUCCUUUCCCCUAUGUAUAAAAUACUUCCUCUUGCUCCUCCCCUCACAGAUGAAUAUUCUGUUACUAUAGAUUUGCCUUUCUAUGUUUUAUAUAGAUAGAAUCAUAUAAUAUGUACAUCUGUGUUCUAGAUUUUUCAUUCAGCAUCAUAAUAGUUUUUAUACUCAUCUAUGUUGAUACAUGUAUCAAUAGUUAAUUCCCUUUUAUUUCUUAUUUCUUUCCUUUUUUUUUUUUUUUGAGACUGAGUAUUGCUCUGUCACCCAGAUUAGAGUGCAGUGGUGUGAUCUCAGCUCACUGCAACCUUCACCACCUGGGUUCAAGUUAUUCUCAUGCCUCAGCCUCCCCAGUAGCCGAGAUUACAGAUGCCCACCACCACGCCCAGCUAAUUUUUGUAUUUUUAGUAGAGACGGGGUUUCACCAUGUUGACCAGUCUUGUCUUGAACUCCUGACCUCAACUGCUCCACCUGCCUUGACCUCCCAAAGUGCUGGAAUUACAGGCGUGAGCCACCACAUCCAGCCGAUUCCUUUUUACUUCUGAGAGUCUUCUGAUCCUUGAGUAAAGUAUGUUUCUUGUACCUCAAUAUGCUUAAUUUUUUCCUUCUGGCUUUCGUUUUAGGUUCAGGGUAUAUAUGUAGGCUUCUUAUAUGAGUACAUUGCAUGUUGCAGUGGUUUGGUGUACAGAUAAUUUUGUCAUCCUGGUAAUCAGCAUAGUACCUGACAGGCAGUUUUUCUAUCCUCAUCCUUCUCCCUCUCCCCCCCAAGUAGGCCCCAGUGUCUAUUGUUUCCUUUUUUUGUGUGCCUGUGUACUCCAUGGUUAGCUCCCACUUAUAAGGGAGAAUAUGUGGUUUUUGGUUUUCUGUUCUUCCAUUGAUUUGCUUAGGAUAAUGGCCUCUAGUUCUAUCCAUGUUCCUGCAAAGGACAUGAUUUUUUUCUUUUUUAUGUCUGCAUAGUAUUCCAUGGUGUAUAUGUACCACAUUUUCUUUACCUAGUCCAUUGUCUCAAUAUACUUAAGUUAUACUCAGUAAUGUUUUGUAGUUUUUAAUAUUCAGGCCUUUUAUGUUUUUAUGAGAUUUCCCCAAAGUAGUCUAUUGUUUUUAAAGCUAUUAUACAUUUUAUUUUCUAAUUUCAAAUGUUUUAUUUUAAAAUUGUAAGUAUAUAUGUAUAUGUGUGUGUGUGUAUAUAUAUAUAUAUAUAUAUAUAUUCAUUUACACAGUUGAUUCUAAGUGUAUCUUUUAUUGUUUAACCUGCCUAAAUUCACUUAUCCUAGCAGCAUUUCUGUAGAUUUCAUUGGGUUAUCUGCAUAGAUGAAUAAAGACAGUUUUUACCUCUUUCUUUUGAAAACUGUGUGCCUUUAAUUCUUUUUAUCACCUUGUCACAGUGGCCAGAAUAUUCAACACAAAGUUGAAUACAAGUGGUGAGUAAACACCCUUGUUUUGCUAUUGAUCUUAGAGCAUGAAUAUUCACUUUUUUUACCUUUAUACUUAAUUUUAGCUGUAGGAUUUUCAUAAAUGACCUUUACUAGGUUGAGAAAGUUCCCUCCUAUUCCUAGUCUGAUGAGAAUUUUUAUAAGGAGUACAUAUGACAUAUGCUUUUAUUAAAUGUUUUAUUCUGCCUCGAUUGAAAUCAGAUAGUUUUUAUUUCCCAGUUAUAAACCUCAGUUGUUCAUGUUAUCUUUUUUACGUAUCUUUGCAGAUGCUUUGCUAAUUUUUUAAAAUUUUAUUUUAUUGAGGUAAAUACAACAUAAGAUCUAUCCUCUUAACAAAUUUUCAAGUCUACAGUACAGUAUUAUUAACAAUAGGUACAAUGUUGUAUAGUAGAUCUCUAUAAUUUAUUCAUCUUGCAUAAUUGAGGCUUUAUGCCCUUUGAUUAACGACGUCCCAUUUUUUCCUCUCUCCAUUCCUGGCAACCACCAUUCUAUUCUCUGAUUUUAUAAGCUUGACCACUUUAGAUAUUUCACGUAAGUGGAAUCAUAUAGUAUUUAUCCUGUGACUUGUUUAUUUCAUUUAGCAUAAUGUCCUCAAGUUUCAUCCACAUUGUUACAUAUUGCAGGAUUUCAUUUUUAAGGCUGGAUAAUAUUCUAUUGUAUGUGUAUGUACACAUUGGCUACUGUGACUAGUAUAGCAAUGGACAGUAGUAUACUAAUAUUUCUUUGAGAUUCUUAUUUCAAUUCUUUUGCAUAAUUACCCAGAAAGGGGAUUGGUGGAUCAUAUGGUAGUUCUAUUUUUAAUUUUUUGAGAAAUCACCAUCCUGUUUUCCACAGAAGCAGCACAAUUUUUCAUUCCCACCAAAGUGUUCAAGGGGUCUAAUUACCCCACGUACUUCUCAACACUUGUCUUUCAUUUGUUUGAUAAUAGCCAUCCUUAUAAGUGAGAGAUGAUAUUUGGUGGUUAUAAUUUGCAUUUCCCUGAUGAUUAGUGAUAUUGAGCAUCAUUUCAUAUGCCCAUUGACCCUUUGUAUGUUUUUUAUGAAGAAAUGACCAUUCAAGUCUUUGAUACAUUUUUUAAUUGGGUUACUUGUGUUUUUUUUAAUAUUGAGUUGUAGGAGUUCUUUAUAUGUUUUGGAUAUUGACUCCUUUUCUGAUAUAUGAUUUGCAAUUAUUUUCUCCCAUUCUGUAGAUCAUCCUUUCAUUCCAUUGGUUAUUUCCUUUGUGAACCCUGAAAAUUUGAGACAGGUCUCAGUUAAUUUAGAAAGUUUAUUUUGCAAAGGUUGAGAACAUAUGCCCAUAACACAGCCUCACCUCAGGAGGUCCUGCUGACAUGUGCCCAAGGUGGUCAGGGCACAGUUUGGUUUUAUACAUUUUAGGGAGACAUGAGACAUCAAUCAACAUAUGUAAAAUGAACAGUGGUUUGGUCUAGAAAGGUGGGACAAUUCAAAGCAGAAGUGAAACAACUGGAAGCAAGGAGGGGGCUUCCAGGUCACAGGUAAGAGACAAAUGGUUGCACCUUUUUGUUUCUGAUUAGCCUUUCCAAAGGAGGCAAUCAGAUAUGCAUUUAUCUCAGUGAGCAAAGAGAUGACUUUGAAUAGAAUGGGGGGCUCCCAGGUCACAGGUAAGGGACAAAUGGUUGCAUCUUUUUGUUUCUGAUUAGCCUUUCCAAAGGAGGCAAUCAGAUACGUAUUUAUCUCAGUGAGCAAAGAGAUGACUUUGAAUAGAAUGGGAGGCAGUUUUGCCCUAAGCAGUUCCCAGCUUGAAUUUUCCCUUUUGUUGAGUGAUUUUGGGGGCCCAAGAUAUUUUCCUUUCACACCUUUGAUGCGAACAAGCUGUUUGUUUGCUAUAGUCCUACUUGUCUAUUCUUGCUUUUGUUGCCUGUGCUUUUGGUGUCAGAUUGAUGAUAUCAUUGCCAAAACCAAUGUCAAAAGGUUUUCCUCUAUGUUUUCUUUGAAGGGCUUUACAUUUUCAGUACUUACAUUUAGGCUUUUAAUCCAUUUGAAAUUUAUUUUUGCAUAUGGUGUAAGAUAAGCAAUUUCUUUGCAAUAUGGAUGUUCAUUUUUCCCGUCACUGUUUGUUGAAGAAACUGUCAUUUCCCCUUAAAUAGUCCUGCCACCCAAAGACCGUUUAACCAUAUUUGCAAAGUUUAUUCCCAAGUUCUCCAAUCUGUUUAAUUGGUCUAUAUGUUCAUCUUUAUGCCAGUGCCAUAUUGUUUCAAUUAUUGUAGCUUUGUAAUAUAUUUUGAUAUCAGGAAGUUUGAGGCCUCUGGCCUUCUGUUUCUUGCUCAAGAUUUGUUUGGCUAUUCAGGGCUUUUUGUGGUUCCAUGUAUAUUUUAGUAUCAUUGUUUUCCUAAUUCUAAAAUGCCAUUGAGGUCUUGAUAGGUAUUGCACUAAAUCUGCAGAUCACAUUGUGAAAUACAAAUAUUUUAACUAUAUGAAGUCUUUUAAUAAAUGAAUAUAGGAGGAUUUUUGCAUGUUGAUUUUGUACCCUGCAACUUUACUUGGUUUUAGGAGGCUUUUUUGUGGAUUCUUUAGAGCAUGCCAUAGGCAAACAGGGACCAUUGUACUUCUUCUUUUACAAUCUGUAUGUUGUUAAUUUCUUUUCCUUGCCUAAGAGCUUUAAGUAGGACAAGGGUUAAAUAGAAAUGGCAAGUGCAAACAUCCUUGCCAUGUUUCUGAUGUCAGAGGAAAAGUUCAGCUUUUUCCAUAGCAUGAUAUUAGCUAUGCACUUUACAUAUAGGGCCUUCAAAAUGUUGAAAUAUUUUUCUCAAAUUCUAGGUUGGCAGGAGUUAUCAUCAUAAAAUGGGUAUUAAAUUUUGUGAAAACUUUUUUUCUGAAUCUAUUGAGAUGCACAGGUGACAUUUAUCCUUCAUUCUAUUAAUGUGGUAUAUUACAUUAAUUGAUUUUGUAUGUUAGGCUAUCCUUGCACCCCAGGGAUAAAUGCCACUUGCUUAUGGCAUAUACUCCUUUUAGUGUACUGUUGAAUUAAUUUUGCUACUACUUUGUUGAGGAUUUUUGCAUCUACGUUUACUAGACAUAUUGGCUUAUAGUUUUCUUGUGGUAUCUUUGACAAGCUUUGGUGUAAUGGUAAUGCUGGCCACAUAAAAUUAGUUUGAAAGUAUUUAUUCUUUUUAAAUUUUUAUAUAAUAGCUUGGGAAAGAUGGCCAUUAAUUUCUCCUUAAAUAUUUGGUGGCUUCACCAGAAGAGCCAUCUUGUCCUGGGAAUUUUUUUGUUGUAAGUUUCUUGAUUACUGAUUCAAUCUUCAUUCUAGUUAUAGAUACGCUCAUAUUUUCUAUUUCUUCAUAAUUCAGUCUUGGUAGGUCCUUGUCUUUGUGAAUUUUUUCAUUUCUUCUAGGUUAUCCAAUUUGUUGGCCUAUAAUUGUUCUUAGUUGUCUCUUACCAUCUUUUAUAUUUCUGUGGCAUCAGUUGCAAUGUCUUAUUUCUGAUUUCAUUUAUUUAAGGCCUCUCUUCUUUUUCUUAGUCUAGCUAAAGGUUUGUCAAGUUAUUUAUAUUUUCCAAAAACUAACUCUUAGUUUUGUUUACUUUUUAUAUAUCCUUUCCAUUCACUAUUUUAUUUCUGAACUAAUCUUUAUUAUUUUCUUUAUUCUUCUAAAUUUGAACUUUGUUUGUUCUUUUCUACAUUUCUAGUUGCUUGGGAUAUGUAUUAGUCCAUUUUCACACUGUUGAUAAAGACUUAACUGAGAGACUGGGUAAUUUGUAAAGAAAAAGAGGUUUAAUGGACUCACAGUUCCACGUGGCUGGGGAGGCCUCACUAUCAUGGCAGAAGGUAAAACACAUGUCUCACAUGGCGGCAGACAAGAGAGAAUGAAAGCCAAGCCAAAGGGGGUUUCCCCUUAUAAAACCAUCUGAUUUCAUAAGACUGAUUCACUACCAUGAGAACAGUAUGGGGGAAACCACCCCCAUGAUUCAAUUAUCUCCCACUGGGUCCCUCCACCAACAUGGGGGAAUUAUGGGAGCUACAAUUCAAGAUGAGAUUUGGGUGGGGACACAGCCAAACCAUAUCAAGGUAUAAAGUGCAUUGUUUGAGACCUUUCUUUUUUCUUAAUGCAGAUAUUCAUCACUAUAAACUUUUCUUUUAGCCCUACUUUUACUACAUCCCAUAAGUUUUGUUAGACUUUAUUUUUGUUUUCAUUUAUUCUAAUGUGUUUUUAAAUUUCCCUUUUGAUUUAUUCUUUGCAGAUUGGUUGUUCAAAAAUGUAUUGUUAAAUUAUCACAUAUUUAUUAGUUUUCCUUUUGCAACUGAUUUCUAGUUUCAUUCCCUUGAUGCUGUAAAAGAUACUUGAUAUGACUUCAAUUUUCUUAAUUUUCUUAAGACUUCUUUUAUGACCUAACAUAUGAUCUAUCCUGCAGAAUGAUCCAUGUGCACUUGAGAAGAAUGUAUACUCUGCUGCUGUUGGAUGGAAUGUUCUGCACAUGUCUGUAGGUGACUUGACUUGCAGUGUUGAUCAGGUCAUCUGGGUCUUUGUUGCCUUUAUGUUUGGUUGUUCUAUCCAUUAUUAAAAGUGAGCACUGAAAUCUCC